UACGUAGGGGGCAAGCGUUGUCCGGAUUUAUUGGGCGUAAAGCGCGCGCAGGCGGUUUGUUAAGUCUGAUGUGAAAGCCCACGGCUCAACCGUGGAGGGCCAUUGGAAACUGGUAGGCUUGAGUGCAGGAGAGGAGAGCGGAAUUCCCGGUGUAGCGGUGAAAUGCGUAGAUAUCAGGAAGAACACCGGUGGCGAAGGCGGCUCUCUGGGCCUUACCUGACGCUGAGGAGCGAAAGCGUGGGGAGCAAACAGG
rnacentral:rRNA from 1 species